CAAAAUGCCAUGAUGGUCAUAGUAUCUACAUUCUCGACAGAGAGAGACUCCCUUGCAAGGGAAAUACAAUUUCUCUCUUCCCUUCGUAUACUUCCAAGGAGUGGUGCUCCUCUCCAAAUGAUGAUUCAGGUCAUCCUCUCUGAUAUAUGGGCAUAAGAAAACCAGUCUCCAUCUUCUGAAGAGUGAACAGAA